CGGCGCGGACGGAAGCCUCAGGUGUGAGGU
rnacentral:piRNA from 1 species